rnacentral:rRNA from 1 species
UACGUAGGCAGCGAGCGUUGUUCGGAGUUACUGGGCGUAAAGGGUGUGUAGGCGGUUGUUUUAAGUUUGGUGUGAAAUCUCCCGGCUCAACUGGGAGGGUGCGCCGAAUACUGAAUGACUAGAGUACGGGAGAGGAAAGUGGAAUUCCUGGUGUAGCGGUGAAAUGCGUAGAUAUCAGGAGGAACACCGGUGGUGUAGACGGCUUUCUGGACCGUAACUGACGCUGAAACACGAAAGCGUGGGUAGCAAACAGG